UUAAUUGAAGAGUUUGAUCAUGGCUCAGAUUGAACGCUGGCGGCAGGCCUAACACAUGCAAGUCGAGCGGUAACAGAAAAGAAGCUUGCUUCUUUUGCUGACGAGCGGCGGACGGGUGAGUAAUGCCUGGGAAUAUACCCUGAUGUGGGGGAUAACUAUUGGAAACGAUAGCUAAUACCGCAUAAUCUCUUCGGAGCAAAGAGGGGGACCUUCGGGCCUCUCGCGUCAGGAUUAGCCCAGGUGGGAUUAGCUAGUUGGUGGGGUAAUGGCUCACCAAGGCGACGAUCCCUAGCUGGUCUGAGAGGAUGAUCAGCCACACUGGAACUGAGACACGGUCCAGACUCCUACGGGAGGCAGCAGUGGGGAAUAUUGCACAAUGGGGGAAACCCUGAUGCAGCCAUGCCGCGUGUAUGAAGAAGGCCUUCGGGUUGUAAAGUACUUUCAGUUGUGAGGAAGGCGUUGGAGUUAAUAGCUUCAGCGCUUGACGUUAGCAACAGAAGAAGCACCGGCUAACUCCGUGCCAGCAGCCGCGGUAAUACGGAGGGUGCGAGCGUUAAUCGGAAUUACUGGGCGUAAAGCGCAUGCAGGCGGUCUGUUAAGCAAGAUGU
rnacentral:rRNA from 1 species